rnacentral:lncRNA from 10 species
CUUACCCUGUGCAACCUCACAGGGCCGGGCCUUCAACGUCAGCACUAUGGCUCUCUCUUCUGUCGCUUUCUCUCCUUCACCACGCAGUCUGUGAACAGCACUUUCUACACUCCUCGCCGGCAAGCAGGCUCGUGUCGAGGGUAGCAGAUUCCACUGGCGAUUCCACUGGUGCUGUGAGCCAUCUGCUGGCUUUGCACCUCUUAGAAUCUGGUGUUUUUUUGUUUUUUGUUUUGUUUUGUUUUUAAUCCUUUUCCGGGUAACCAGAAAGGGAAGCUCAAUUCCCUUAACCCCGAGACCACUAAAGGGGCAAUACAAAAAGAGGAAAUAAAUACAUUUUUAAGCAUACAAGAGCUUCACAAUCCAGUAGAUCAUUUUGUAUUCUGGAUUCAUUUUGCUUUGUAUUCAUAUGCUAAUCUCUUCCUUUCCACGAAGGGAUUAUAGGGUUCCACAAUGGGGUAUCUGUGUAAUUUUCUAAAAGGGCACAAAGGGUUUAAAUCAUUGUUUCUUUGUAGUUGGAGGCAAGGGAGAGCAGGAGGAAUGAAAAUUUACACUGAAGGUUUUUUUUUUUUUAAUUAAACUCUGCAGGUGAGGUCAACUGUGGAACCAAAAUAGGUUUUAGAAUGAGAAGUUUCAAGAGCAAAGGAAGGGGAGAAAGAGCACUUAAAAGUUAUUAAGUGGGUUUGUUUUUUUUUUUUUUGGCACUUAUGGAAAAAUUGAAAUUAAAAGAAAUAUUCUGUAGCGUUUUGUAGUGUAGAUUUAACUUAUCCUGCAUUACCACAUCACAGUAUAUGAUUUUCAAAAGCAAAUGUUAGAGCCAUGAUAGUGGUUACUCAGGAAGGAAGAGGGUUGUGAUGGGGAGGGACACAGGUUACUCUGAUAAUAUUUCAUUUUGGGGGCUAGGUGGUGAUUACAUAUAUUUGCUUAGUAAUUAUUUGUUAAACUGAAUAUACAGAUAAAAUGCACUUUUCCCAAUGUAUGUUAUAGAUUGGGGGAUUUUUUUAAUUGUAAAAUAUUCAUAAUAUAAAAUUUACCAUCUUAAUAUUAAGUGUAUGGUUCAGGUGCAUUAGGUACAUUCGUAUUGUUGUAGAACCAUGACCAUCAUCUAUCUCCAGAACUUUUUCAUCAUUCCAAACUGAAACUUCAUACCCAAUAAAAAUAAAUGUCCUUUCCCUCCUCCUUCCAUCCCUUGAUAACCACUGUUCUGUUUUCUGUCUCUACGAACUUGACUAUUCUAGGUACCUCAUAUAAGUGGGAUUGUACUGUAUUUGUCUUUUUGUGACUAGCUUUUUUGCAUAAUGUCUUCAGAGUAGCAUACAUCAGAAUUUCCCUCUUUUUUAAGGCUGACUAAUAUUCCAUUAUAUGUAUAUACCACAUUUUGUUCAUUCACUCAGCAACGGACAUAUGGACUGUUUCCUCAAUGUAUGUUACGUUUUUGAAUUUUUAAAAUGUGGCUUGAAUUCCUACAACAGGACAACAUUAAAGGAACAAGAAGCUUGAAAGC